GCGGUGGUGGCGGAACUGGUAGACGCGCCAUCUUGAGGGGGUGGUGCCACCUAGGCGUGGGGGUUCGAGUCCCCCCCACCGCA
rnacentral:tRNA from 1 species